rnacentral:lncRNA from 1 species
UUUAGGUUAGGUUAGGUAAGGUUAGGUUAGGUUAGGUUAGGUUAGGUGUUCGGUUAGGUUAGGUGGUUAGGUUAGGUUAGGUUAGGUUAGGUUAGGUAAGGUUAGGUUAGGUUAGGUUAGGUUCGGUUAGGUUAGGUUAGGUUAGGUUAGGUUAGGUUAGGUUAGGUUAGGUUAGGUUAGGUUAGGUUAGGUUCGGUUAGGUCAUCAGAUCUUUAAUAAAUUAGUGGCAUUCUGUUCAACUAGUGUUUUUCAACAAAAAAAAAAAAAUUAAUGUUUCACUCAAAUUAAAUUUUAAUUUCCGACUUUAAAAAUUACAAUCUUACUGUUUUUUCGAAAUUCCCGCGCCAAUCUACGAGAUAGCAUCCGCACCGCAUUCAUCAUCGACAGGAGACGGGUUUUUGUUGACAUUCGUGUUGUCCGGUUUUCCUGCAGAUGGUCACGCUCCACUUUAUGUGUGUGUGUAGGUUAUGUUCUUGUUUACCUACUGCAUCACCACAAUCAAAUGAAUUUCUUUCAAAGUGUGAAAUUAAUUAAUUUUCAAAUGAAUUUUUUCAUAACUCUGUGAUCUUCUACACACACCAUGGAUCUAACCCUAGUCUUGUCGCUUGUAUCUGCCGCCGUAGUUGCUGUGCUCCUCGGAAUUGUACUCCUCAGAGCUGGUAAGAAGAAAGAAAAGCAACAAGUGGCCCCGGAAGCUCGAAAUGCACCAAGACCUGUCGGACCAAGAGGAAGGAGGAGGCUGGUCCAGCAUCGUGCUCAACUUGAAGCAGUUGAAGGAGGCGGAAGCGAGGAUGAAGAAGAGGCCCAAGCGCGGCCUGCCGUAAAAAUUGAAGUCCCAGAAGGGGCCAAGAUAGGAGCCAAAAAGAUGGCCAAACUUCAGGCGAAACAGGAACGCCGCAUUCAGAGAGAGGUAAGGAACAGGGACAUCAGUGAUAAAAUUGUAGGAAGUGAUAAUACGUAGAAAUUCCACAAUACCGACAACUGUCCAUUAAAAUGCUGUUCCUCGGUAGAACAGGACAAAAGCACCUCUUGUAGCGUGUAUCUUGCAAGCGGCUAUUGUGCUUGCUU